rnacentral:tRNA from 1 species
UGUAAAAUAAGCUAAAGACUAAGCUGUUGGGUUCAUACCCCAAAAAUGAACGAAUGUUCUUUUACAA